CAGAACUGCUGAGCCGGGGCCAAGAUUGCUUCUGGCAUCUGGAAUGCAUUAACAACGGCCCACAAAUCUGAAUCUCAUCUCCUUGGAAGAGAGUGGAGGAGAGACAGCGAGCGAGGGACUCCUUGAGCAAGGGUUAUUGGUAGCAGGUCAUGAGGCUUCCAGUUGGAGGCAUGCUGCAGCCAGUCCCACACAUAUGAUGUUCCCGAACUCUCUCCCCAGGGAUGCAUUGGAAGAAAUAGAAGCUAAUGUCAGUAGUUCACCAGCACACCUCUCCUUGGCUUAUGGGACCUUUCUUUCUUACUGAUGAGGCCGAGUGAGGUGUAAAGAGCUGAAGGCUGGAAAUGUCCACAAUAACCAAACUGUGGAAAGAGCCAAGAUGUCCAUCGACAGAUGAAUGGAUAAAGAAGAUGUGGUAUA